rnacentral:rRNA from 1 species
CCUACGGGAGGCAGCAGUGGGGAAUCUUGCGCAAUGGGCGAAAGCCUGACGCAGCCAUGCCGCGUGAAUGAUGAAGGUCUUAGGAUUGUAAAAUUCUUUCACCGGGGACGAUAAUGACGGUACCCGGAGAAGAAGCCCCGGCUAACUUCGUGCCAGCAGCCGCGGUAAUACGAAGGGGGCUAGCGUUGCUCGGAAUUACUGGGCGUAAAGGGAGCGUAGGCGGAUAGUUUAGUCAGAGGUGAAAGCCCAGGGCUCAACCUUGGAAUUGCCUUUGAUACUGGCUAUCUUGAGUAUGGGAGAGGUAUGCGGAACUCCGAGUGUAGAGGUGAAAUUCGUAGAUAUUCGGAAGAACACCAGUGGCGAAGGCGGCAUACUGGCCCAUUACUGACGCUGAGGCUCGAAAGCGUGGGGAGCAAACAGGAUUAGAUACCCUGGUAGUCCACGCUGUAAACGAUGAGUGCUAGUUGUCGGCAUGCAUGCAUGUCGGUGACGCAGCUAACGCAUUAAGCACUCCGCCUGGGGAGUACGGUCGCAAGNUUAAAACUCAAAGGAAUUGACGGCUGAGACGNGCGAGACGACGACGAGGGAGGAGG